rnacentral:rRNA from 1 species
UACGUAGGGUGCAAGCGUUAAUCGGAGUUACUGGGCGUAAAGCGUGCGCAGGCGGUGAUGUAAGACAGGUGUGAAAUCCCCGGGCUUAACCUGGGAACUGCAUUUGUGACUGCAUUGCUGGAGUGCGGCAGAGGGGGAUGGAAUUCCGCGUGUAGCAGUGAAAUGCGUAGAUAUGCGGAGGAACACCGAUGGCGAAGGCAAUCCCCUGGGCCUGCACUGACGCUCAUGCACGAAAGCGUGGGGAGCAAACAGG